rnacentral:rRNA from 1 species
UACGGGGGGGGCAAGCGUUGUUCGGAAUUACUGGGCGUAAAGGGCUCGUAGGCGGCCAACUAAGUCAGACGUGAAAUCCCCAGGCUUAACCUGGGAACUGCGUGUGAUACUGGAUGGCUUGGAUUUGGGAGAGGGAUGCGGAAUUCCAGGUGUAGCGGUGAAAUGCGUAGAUAUCUGGAGGAACACCGGUGGCGAAGGCGGCAUCCUGGACCAAUAUUGACGCUGAGGAGCGAAAGCGUGGGGAGCAAACAGG